GUUUGCCAUUGGAUCCCUGAUGGACGACUACCUGGGUCUCCUGAACUGAAAAGCCCGUUUCUGUUCUUCUUGUGUUCAACUCCAUGGCCGUUCCUCACUAAGGAAAGGUUGGCUGGCUGCGUUUUAUUGGAAAGGGUGACCAUUUGCAGCAAUCCUAAUGAGUGAGGAGCGUUUCUGGAGGUCCUUUGGGGUCUCCCUGUUGUUUCUUGCUGGAAUGGAGUGUCCCUGCAAGGUCCUUUUUUGGUCAUUAAACGUUUUCCUGUUCUCUU